AUACGGAGGGUGCGAGCGUUAAUCGGAAUUACUGGGCGUAAAGCGUGCGUAGGCGGUUUGUUAAGUCAGAAGUGAAAGCCCUGGGCUCAACCUGGGAACGGCUUUUGAGACUGGCAGACUCGAGUUGAGUAGAGGGGAGUGGAAUUUCCGGUGUAGCGGUGAAAUGCGUAGAGAUCGGAAGGAACACCAGUGGCGAAGGCGACUCCCUGGACUCAAACUGACGCUGAGGUACGAAAGCGUGGGUAGCAAACAGGAUUAGAUACCCCGGUAGUCC
rnacentral:rRNA from 1 species